rnacentral:rRNA from 1 species
UUUGGACAAUGGGCGCAAGCCUGAUCCAGCAAUGCCGCGUGAGUGAAGAAGGCCUUCGGGUUGUAAAGCUCUUUUGUCAGGGAAGAAACGGUGAGCUCUAAUACAGUUUGCUAAUGACGGUACCUGAAGAAUAAGCACCGGCUAACUACGUGCCAGCAGCCGCGGUAAUACGUAGGGUGCAAGCGUUAAUCGGAAUUACUGGGCGUAAAGCGUGCGCAGGCGGUUAUGUAAGUCAGAUGUGAAAUCCCCGGGCUCAACCUGGGAAUGGCAUUUGAGACUGCAUGGCUAGAGUGUGUCAGAGGGGGGUAGAAUUCCACGUGUAGCAGUGAAAUGCGUAGAGAUGUGGAGGAAUACCGAUGGCGAAGGCAGCCCCCUGGGAUAACACUGACGCUCAUGCACGAA